rnacentral:rRNA from 1 species
UGGUGGGGUAACGGCCCACCAAGGCGACGACGGGUAGCCGGCUGAGAGGGCGACCGGCCACACUGGGACUGAGACACGGCCCAGACUCCUACGGGAGGCAGCAGUGGGGAAUAUUGCACAAUGGGCGCAAGCCUGAUGCAGCGACGCCGCGUGAGGGAUGACGGCCUUCGGGUUGUAAACCUCUUUCAGUACCGACGAAGCGCAAGUGACGGUAGGUACAGAAGAAGCACCGGCCAACUACGUGCCAGCAGCCGCGGUAAUACGUAGGGUGCGAGCGUUGUCCGGAAUUACUGGGCGUAAAGAGCUCGUAGGCGGUUUGUCGCGUCGUCUGUGAAAACCCGCAGCUCAACUGCGGGCUUGCAGGCGAUACGGGCAGACUUGAGUACUGCAGGGGAGACUGGAAUUCCUGGUGUAGCGGUGAAAUGCGCAGAUAUCAGGAGGAACACCGGUGGCGAAGGCGGGUCUCUGGGCAGUAACUGACGCUGAGGAGCGAAAGCGUGGGUAGCGAACAGGAUUAGAUACCCUGGUAGUCCACGCCGUAAACGGUGGGCGCUAGGUGUGGGUUCCUCCACGGGAU